rnacentral:tRNA from 1 species
GGAGAGGUGCCGGAGCGGUUGAUCGGGGCGCUCUCGAAAAGCGUUGUGGCUGUGAGGUCACCGUGGGUUCGAAUCCCACCCUCUCCG